GGUGGGGUGCGCUGAAUUGGUAAAGCAUCGCUCUCGAAAAGCGGCGGGUAGCAAUGCCCUUGUGAGUUCGAGUCUCACCCCCACCGCUA
rnacentral:tRNA from 1 species